GAUGAACGCUAGCUACAGGCUUAACACAUGCAAGUCGAGGGGCAGCAUGGUCUUAGCUUGCUAAGGCCGAUGGCGACCGGCGCACGGGUGAGUAACACGUAUCCAACCUGCCGUCUACUCUUGGACAGCCUUCUGAAAGGAAGAUUAAUACAAGAUGGCAUCAUGAGUCCACAUGUUCACAUGAUUAAAGGUAUUCCGGUAGACGAUGGGGAUGCGUUCCAUUAGAUAGUAGGCGGGGUAACGGCCCACCUAGUCUUCGAUGGAUAGGGGUUCUGAGAGGAAGGUCCCCCACAUUGGAACUGAGACACGGUCCAAACUCCUACGGGAGGCAGCAGUGAGGAAUAUUGGUCAAUGGGCGAGAGCCUGAACCAGCCAAGUAGCGUGAAGGAUGACUGCCCUAUGGGUUGUAAACUUCUUUUAUAAAGGAAUAAAGUCGGGUAUGGAUACCCGUUUGCAUGUACUUUAUGAAUAAGGAUCGGCUAACUCCGUGCCAGCAGCCGCGGUAAUACGGAGGAUCCGAGCGUUAUCCGGAUUUAUUGGGUUUAAAGGGAGCGUAGAUGGAUGUUUAAGUCAGUUGUGAAAGUUUGCGGCUCAACCGUAAAAUUGCAGUUGAUACUGGAUAUCUUGAGUGCAGUUGAGGCAGGCGGAAUUCGUGGUGUAGCGGUGAAAUGCUUAGAUAUCACGAAGAACUCCGAUUGCGAAGGCAGCCUGCUAAGCUGCAACUGACAUUGAGGCUCGAAAGUGUGGGUAUCAAACAGGAUUAGAUACCCUGGUAGUCCACACGGUAAACGAUGAAUACUCGCUGUUUGCGAUAUACAGCAAGCGGCCAAGCGAAAGCGUUAAGUAUUCCACCUGGGGAGUACGCCGGCAACGGUGAAACUCAAAGGAAUUGACGGGGGCCCGCACAAGCGGAGGAACAUGUGGUUUAAUUCGAUGAUACGCGAGGAACCUUACCCGGGCUUAAAUUGCAGAUGAAUUACGGUGAAAGCCGUAAGCCGCAAGGCAUCUGUGAAGGUGCUGCAUGGUUGUCGUCAGCUCGUGCCGUGAGGUGUCGGCUUAAGUGCCAUAACGAGCGCAACCCUUGUUGUCAGUUACUAACAGGUUCCGCUGAGGACUCUGACAAGACUGCCAUCGUAAGAUGUGAGGAAGGUGGGGAUGACGUCAAAUCAGCACGGCCCUUACGUCCGGGGCUACACACGUGUUACAAUGGGGGGUACAGAGGGCCGCUACCACGCGAGUGGAUGCCAAUCCCAAAAACCUCUCUCAGUUCGGACUGGAGUCUGCAACCCGACUCCACGAAGCUGGAUUCGCUAGUAAUCGCGCAUCAGCCACGGCGCGGUGAAUGCGUUCCCGGGCCU
rnacentral:rRNA from 1 species